GGCGCUAUAGCCAAGUGGUUACGGCGACAGAUUAGAAUGUCGAAAUAAUGUCGCUCUAUCUGUUCCUCUUUGAGGGCGCAGGUUCGAAUCCUGCUGGCGUCG